GCGAACGGGUGAGUAACACGUGAGCAACCUGCCCCUGACUCUGGGAUAAGCGCUGGAAACGGCGUCUAAUACUGGAUAUGUGACGUGACCGCAUGGUCUGCGUCUGGAAAGAAUUUCGGUUGGGGAUGGGCUCGCGGCCUAUCAGCUUGUUGGUGAGGUAAUGGCUCACCAAGGCGUCGACGGGUAGCCGGCCUGAGAGGGUGACCGGCCACACUGGGACUGAGACACGGCCCAGACUCCUACGGGAGGCAGCAGUGGGGAAUAUUGCACAAUGGGCGCAAGCCUGAUGCAGCAACGCCGCGUGAGGGACGACGGCCUUCGGGUUGUAAACCUCUUUUAGCAGGGAAGAAGCGAAAGUGACGGUACCUGCAGAAAAAGCGCCGGCUAACUACGUGCCAGCAGCCGCGGUAAUACGUAGGGCGCAAGCGUUAUCCGGAAUUAUUGGGCGUAAAGAGCUCGUAGGCGGUUUGUCGCGUCUGCUGUGAAAUCCGGAGGCUCAACCUCCGGCCUGCAGUGGGUACGGGCAGACUAGAGUGCGGUAGGGGAGAUUGGAAUUCCUGGUGUAGCGGUGGAAUGCGCAGAUAUCAGGAGGAACACCGAUGGCGAAGGCAGAUCUCUGGGCCGUAACUGACGCUGAGGAGCGAAAGGGUGGGGAGCAAACAGGCUUAGAUACCCUGGUAGUCCACCCCGUAAACGUUGGGAACUAGUUGUGGGGUCCAUUCCACGGAUUCCGUGACGCAGCUAACGCAUUAAGUUCCCCGCCUGGGGAGUACGGCCGCAAGGCUAAAACUCAAAGGAAUUGACGGGGACCCGCACAAGCGGCGGAGCAUGCGGAUUAAUUCGAUGCAACGCGAAGAACCUUACCAAGGCUUGACAUAUACGAGAACGGGCCAGAAAUGGUCAACUCUUUGGACACUCGUA
rnacentral:rRNA from 1 species